rnacentral:tRNA from 1 species
GCAGAUGUGGUGAAAGCGGAAGCCACCUAGAUUGAGUUCUAGCCCUUGUAGGAUGCAGGUUCAAAUCCUGCCAUCUGCA